rnacentral:tRNA from 2 species
GGGGGGUUUCCCGAGCGGUCAAAGGGGACAGACUGUAAAUCUGUUGGCAUUGCCUUCACAGGUUCGAAUCCUGUACCCCCCACUA